UACAGAGACCCCGAGCGUUAUCCGGAUUUAUUGGGCGUAAAGCGUCUGUAGGUGUCCUGCACAAGUCCCCGGUCAAAGCCCACCGCUCAACGGUGGAACUGCCAGGGAAACUAGCAGGAUUGAGGUUGGGAGAGGUAAGCGGAAUUGCUGGUGUAGUAGUAAAAUGCGUUAAUAUCAGCAAGAACACCAAAGGCGAAGGCAGCUUACUGGAACACACCUGACACUGAGAGACGAAAGCGUGGGGAGCGAAUGGG
rnacentral:rRNA from 1 species